GAUCCUGUUCCCACAGCUCUCAGGGCAAGGUCCCCCAGCCCGGCCUCUGUGUCUCUCCUGAGCCCUGUCGCCCCUGCCACACCUGACCCACUGUGUCUGGCCACCUUGGGGCCCUUCCCAUCCUGGAGGUGGGGGCCCUGCUCCCUUUUCCUCUGGAAGGAGGCUGAUAGUUCCCUGGGCCUGGAAGGUACUCGCCUCCCCCACCUGCUCAGCUGCAGCCCCGACUCCCUUUUCUGGGAUACCAGAACGGCUCCCCAACACUGGGUCUAAACCACCUGGGUCCACACCACCCUAGAGGGGAGCCCUUGGCUGUGGUCUGCCCCACUUGGGUUCUCCACACCUAAGCCAGUGGAAAUUUGGGAGCAGGUCAUGAGGGAAGAUAAAUUGAAGCCGAGCCAAGCUGAAUUGGAGGCAUCUGAGACAAGAACGUGCGGACGCCCAGUGGACGAUCCAGGCAGGCUGGGGUGUUGGGGACGGAGCCGUGGAUACACCCAUACUCAACAGGCAGAGGGAAUAGAUAUUCGACGGGGGACCGGGGUGUCAACAGAUGUAUCCGAGUUCAUGCGUGGCAGGGAGCUGGCGGCGGGACCCGUCCCUCCAGCUGGCUCUCCAACCCCAAGCCUGCAUUACGACCACGGCAAAAUGCCAGAAGCCCAGAGAAGCGGGGUUUCUGAAGCGGAUCGUUUGUUCAGCCCGAGUGCGUGGGGCAGGAACACACCUGGAGGUCAUUAAAGAGAAGUCUUCACGGGGCACUCAAGGCACACUGCAAAACAACUUUUUAUUUAAAAGGCCAAUAAUGAGAAUAAUGAGUUGCACAAGAAUGAAAACCUUAUCCCUUCCAAAAGAUCGGCCUAUACAUUAUGUAUAAAGUUAGAAUAAUUCUAAAUACAAAAUGCCAAAGACCA
rnacentral:lncRNA from 1 species